AUGCUCAGGAACGUGCCUAAGAUGCGCAUCUUUCCCGCUGAAUUAGCAAUUGCGACCAAGGGCUGCUCCCAGUUACCACUUUACAAGAAAAAGUGAUUGCAGCACCCUUUUCUUCUGAGAAAGGAAACGUUCUCAGAAAGGAAAGAAAAGGUGUUUUUUUCCCUUUGUUAUUUACUGCUCUCAGGAGAGACCCGGCUUGUGGUUUUGAGAGUCUGAGCUGCCUCUCACUAAAUCCACCGCACCACCCCCACCGGAGGAGAGCAGCCUGGCUGGUAACACCACCAGGAGCAGCCACAGCAUGCCGGCCCUGCCGCGUUCCAGGCUCCUGUAUUCAUCCCCAGACACGUGUCACAGGGAGAAGCUCAGAACAUUAUCCUGGAGGAAAAUCUGUAUUGUUUAUGGUUGGUAUUGAUCAGAAAAAAAGUCUAAUGGGGAAGACUGAACUAUGGAGGAGGAUUCUGUGUGUCAGAUUUCUUUCAACUGCAAGACACAGAAACCCAACGUAUGCAGAAAUCAGGCAGAGUGAACUCCUGAACUUGAGCAUUCCAAGGGAAUUCAAGCACAGAAGGAUCCAGGAUCUCCAACAAUGACAUAGGACUUUCUUAUUCCUUCUAAAUCUCCCUUUCCUUCUCUGAUGGUGCUUAGCUCUUCA